rnacentral:lncRNA from 1 species
GCCGCGUAGUAGACGCUGCAGGAAGCGACAUGUGUAGGCAGUGACAUAUAGGCAUUCUUCGACUGUCGGGUAGGCUGGAGUCGAUGGAGUGGAUGGGAUGGAACAGGUGUCCUGAUCACGCACGCAGCAGAACCUGUAUGCAGCUAGACGGACAUCAUGCGUUUGGAGAGAGGCUCACUGCCCACUGUGACAAGGCGGGAUUUGUGAUAGGUGUCGUGUAUCAAGAGAUGUGACCCGGGACAGAGGACAUCCUGGUGAGAGUGUCAAGGUUGUGUUUACGCCGGGGUCGAAGGGUUUAUUACGUGGCCUGUGGGAUCGUGUUAGCAGCGUGGCGGCAUGUGAGAGGCAUAGGGAACUCUGGAACUGGAGGAUGCAGCAAGUGUAGCUAGGGUUUCAUAGUCCAUUGCCUCGUUGGCGAUCGUUUACUUUCGAUUUGGUCGUGUCGCCCCGCGAACGCCGCGGGUGUCAGGAACAGCGAGUCAGGACAGCGGCAGUUAGUGUGAGAUGUGUGGUCAGCGUGGGGCUGAUACUGGAUUCCUCACAUGGUCCGGGCGUCUGUUGUUUGUUGCCGUUGUCAAGGACUAGGUGAAAGAGGUAGGGACAAUGCUCUGGACAGUAUGAAAUCAGGAUACAGUAGUUGGAGCCGUCGGUUGUGUUCAUUAAGUGCAUUCUUUGUCUACCUGUGGCAAGCAUCCGCCGCCCUCGCAAGGCAUCUCUCAUGGUCCUAGCCUCGAGAUGUAUCACUUCUUUAUGCCCUGUGUGACUGCUCCAGUGGCACUCCAGCUAGAAAGUGAAGAAACAGAGGCGGCCACGUACACGUGGAGACGCAGGUAAAAAGAAAAAAAGUAUGUCAUGUGCCGCCUGCUGGAAGGUAGAUGUGCUGGUGUGGGGGGGAGGUUUCGAGGAAUUGCAUUUCUGAAGAUCCAUCCAAUUGCGGACAAGCAACUGAUGGCUCAGCUGGAGUUUAGUUGCGCAUGCAGUGGAUUUGUGUUUUCCAUAACAGAUUGUAGGGACAGAGAAAGUGGAAACCAGGUAUAGAUGAAGAGGAAUUAGUGGCUCAUGAGGGCCUGUCGAGAGGCGUCGGGAGAAGAGGCACAAGAGCGUUGUAGUAGUGCGCGAACGACUGGACGGUUAGUCCACCGUGUGUAUGUGGGAUGUGUUUUGGUUCGUAGCGAAGCGGUGGGCAGGAGGG